AUAGAUAGUCGGGCUUGAUUGGGAAACAAUAACAUGGUUUAUGUGCUCGUUCUGGGUAAAUAGAGUUUCUAUCAUUUAUGGUAGUUUCUUGUUCCCCGGAUAGUUUAGUUACGUAGCCAAUUGUGGAACUUUCUUGCUAAAAUUUUUAAGAAUACUAGCCGGGCAACCGAUUAGUUAUUUUAAAUUAUAACGAUUAUCAAUUAACAAUCAAUUCAGAACUGGCACGGACUUGGGGAAUCCGACUGUUUAAUUAAAACAAAGCAUUGUGAUGGCCCUAGCGGGUGUUGACACAAUGUGAUUUCUGCCCAGUGCUCUGAAUGUCAAAGUGAAGAAAUUCAAGUAAGCGCGGGUCAACCGCGGGAGUAACUAUGACUCUCUUAAGGUAGCCAAAUGCCUCGUCAUCUAAUUAGUGACGCGCAUGAAUGGAUUAACGAGAUUCCUACUGUCCCUAUCUACUAUCUAGCGAAACCACAGCCAAGGGAACGGGCUUGGAAUAAUUAGCGGGGAAAGAAGACCCUUUUGAGCUUGACUCUAAUCUGGCAGUGUAAGGAGACAUAAGAGGUGUAGAAUAAGUGGGAGAUAUUAGGCUUCGGUUUGAUAUCGCCAAUGAAAUACCACUACUCUUAUUGUUUCCUUACUUAUUUGAUUAAGUGGAACGUGUAUCAUUUCCUAGCCAUUAUACGGAUAUAUUCAUUAUGUCUUAUGGUAUUGGGUUUUGAUGCAAGCUUCUUGAUCAAAGUAUCACGAGUUUGUUAUAUAAUCGCAAACAAAUUCAUUAAUGAGAAAAUGCAUUACGUGUUUUUGAUUUAAUAAUUUGGUAUAACUCCAAUUACUCAGGUAUGAUCCAAUUCAAGGACAUUGCCAGGUAGGGAGUUUGACUGGGGCGGUACAUCUCUCAAAUAAUAACGGAGGUGUCCCAAGGCCAGCUCAGUGCGGACAGAAACCACACAUAGAGCAAAAGGGCAAAUGCUGACUUGAUCUCGGUGUUCAGUACACACAGGGACAGCAAAAGCUCGGCCUAUCGAUCCUUUUGGUUUAAAGAGUUUUUAACAAGAGGUGUCAGAAAAGUUACCAUAGGGAUAACUGGCUUGUGGCGGCCAAGCGUUCAUAGCGACGUCGCUUUUUGAUCCUUCGAUGUCGGCUCUUCCUAUCAUUGUGAAGCAAAAUUCACCAAGCGUUGGAUUGUUCACCCAUGCAAGGGAACGUGAACUGGGUUUAAACCGUCGUGAGACAGGUUAGUUUUACCCUACUAAUGACAAAACGUUGUUGCGACAGCAUUCCUGCGUAGUACGAGAGGAACCGCAGGUACGGACCAAUGGCACAAUACUUGUUCGAGCGAACAGUGGUAUGACGCUACGUCCGUUGGAUUAUGCCUGAACGCCUCUAAGGUCGUAUCCGUGCUGGACUGCAAUGAUAAAUAAUGGGCAAUUUGCAUUGUAUGGCUUCUAAACCAUUAAAAGUCUAUAAUUCAUUUUAUGGACGACAAUGGAUGUGAUGCCAAUGUUAUAUAUAACAUAGUUAAUUGGGAGGAUCUUCGAUCACCUGAUGCCGCGCUAGUCAUAUUUUAAAACAUUAUUUAAUACAAUGACAAAUCCUGGAAUCAAUUGUAAACGACUUUUGUAACAGGCAAGGUGUUGUAAGUGUUGAGCAGCUGCCAUACUGCGAUCCACUGAAGCUUAUCCUUUGCUUGAUGAUUCGA
rnacentral:rRNA from 1 species